UACGUAGGGUGCAAGCGUUGUCCGGAAUUAUUGGGCGUAAAGAGCUCGUAGGCGGUUUGUCGCGUCGCUGUGAAAACCUGGGGCUCAACCCCGGGCCUGCAGCCGAUACGGGCAAACUAGAAUUCGGUAGGGGAGACUGGAAUUCCUGGUGUAGCGGUGAAAUGCGCAGAUAUCAGGAGGAACACCGGUGGCGAAGGCGGGUCUCUGGGCCGAUAUUGACGCUGAGGAGCGAAAGCGUGGGGAGCGAACAGG
rnacentral:rRNA from 1 species